rnacentral:rRNA from 1 species
AUUGAACGCUAGCGGGAUGCUUUACACAUGCAAGUUGAACGAGUGGCGGACGGGUGAGUAAUAUAACGGAACGUGCCCAGUAGCGGGGGAUAACUACUCGAAAGAGUGGCUAAUACCGCAUACGAUUGGCGCGGCCGAUACCGGAUUCGCUAGUUGGUGGGGUAAGGCUCACCAAGGCAACGAUCCGGAGCUGGUUUGUGAAGACGACCAGCCAUACUUGGAGUGAGACACGGCCCAGACUCCUACGGGAGGCAGCAGUGGGGAAUAUUGGACAAUGGGGGCAACCCUGAUCCAGCCAUCCCGCGUGUAUGAGAAGGCCUUCGGGUGUGAAAGUACUUUUGUCAUAGAAGCGGUAUCUGCAGAAUAAGCACCAGCUAACUACGUGCCAGCAGCCGCGGUAAUAC